rnacentral:rRNA from 1 species
GCUGGCGGCAGGCCUAACACAUGCAAGUCGAGCGCACUCUUCGGAGUGAGCGGCGGACGGGUUAGUAACGCGUGGGAACGUACCCAGAUCUAAGGAAUAGCCACUGGAAACGGUGAGUAAUACCUUAUACGCCCUUCGGGGGAAAGAUUUAUCGGAUUUGGAUCGGCCCGCGUUAGAUUAGGUAGUUGGUGGGGUAAUGGCCUACCAAGCCUACGAUCUAUAGCUGGUUUUAGAGGAUGAUCAGCAACACUGGGACUGAGACACGGCCCAGACUCCUACGGGAGGCAGCAGUGGGGAAUCUUAGACAAUGGGCGCAAGCCUGAUCUAGCCAUGCCGCGUGAGUGAUGAAGGCCUUAGGGUCGUAAAGCUCUUUCGCCUGUGAUGAUAAUGACAGUAGCAGGUAAAGAAACCCCGGCUAACUCCGUGCCAGCAGCCGCGGUAAUACGGAGGGGGUUAGCGUUGUUCGGAAUUACUGGGCGUAAAGCGCACGUAGGCGGAUUAGAAAGUUAGGGGUGAAAUCCCGGGGCUCAACCUCGGAAC